AAGGAACGGUCUGUGCAACAGGA
rnacentral:piRNA from 1 species